ACACGAGAGGGGAGGUGGUCCAAAGUUGAAUACUUAUCGGACUCGUGAGGUGGCUACUUCCUAGCCGCCCAUCGGACUCCGGUCCGAACCGUCGCCUGAGACGUAGACGGCGGUAAGGCAAACCAAGGUAACCACCGACCCCUCGGGCUGCCGGCCUCGUCCGACCGGCCCCGUGCGUAAGCACGGGAACCAGCCCGAGGGGCUUUUUUU
rnacentral:sRNA from 1 species